GGUGAACAAGACGAAGGUGUUGAAGCCUGAUUUUGUCCUUAUUGGAUUUGGAUGACCUGGAAAGGAAUAAUAAUGAUGACAAACUCUUAACUCUACUUUGUCCAUUUGAUACUUCAACAUAGUAAAGACCAUCUUUUUCCUUAGCAUGUCCAAUCAUCCUCUUCAUGCCUUGUUCCUGUAAUACACAAUGGGAUGGAUAAAAA
rnacentral:misc_RNA from 1 species